rnacentral:rRNA from 1 species
GUCUAUGGCCAUGCCACCCUGAACAAGCCCGAUCCUAUCUGAUCUCGGAAGCUAAGCAGAAUCAGGCCUAGUUAGUACUUGGAUGGGAGACCACCUAGGAAGACCAGGUGCUGUAGGCA